rnacentral:rRNA from 1 species
UACGGGAGGCAGCAGUGGGGAAUAUUGCACAAUGGGCGCAAGCCUGAUGCAGCCAUGCCGCGUGUAUGAAGAAGGCCUUCGGGUUGUAAAGUACUUUCAGUCGUGAGGAAGGUGUUAAGGUUAAUAACCUUAGCAAUUGACGUUAGCGACAGAAGAAGCACCGGCUAACUCCGUGCCAGCAGCCGCGGUAAUACGGAGGGUGCGAGCGUUAAUCGGAAUUACUGGGCGUAAAGGGCACGCAGGCGGUUAAUUAAGUUGGAUGUGAAAUCCCCGGGCUUAACCUGGGAAUGGCAUUCAAGACUGGUUAGCUAGAGUCUUGUAGAGGGGGUAGAAUUCCAUGUGUAGCGGUGAAAUGCGUAGAGAUGUGGAGGAUACCGGUGGCGAAGGCGGCCCCUGGACAAAGGACUGACGCUCAUGUGCGAAAGCGUGGGGAGCAAACGAGGGAUUUAGAUACC